rnacentral:lncRNA from 1 species
GUCUAUCCAAAAUAUUGAUCUUCGACUCAAUGCUCCAACGAUCAGGAAUGUUUAAGAUUAGGAUUUUAGAAUUUUAGGUCUCACCAGUAUGACCCAUUCAUAUCUUCUAAAACCAUUGUCCUAAUCUUUGGGGUUCAUCAUAAUCUUAGACAUAAUAAAAUGUAGCUAAUAUGAUGAAUUAAUAUCUCAAAUAAUAAAUAUUAUUUUAUGAGUUGAAAAAUUAUAAAGAAAAGUUUCAUCAUAAUACCC